rnacentral:rRNA from 1 species
CAUGCAAGUCGAGCGGCAGCGACUUAACUGAACCUUCGGGGAACGUUAAGGGCGGCGAGCGGCGGACGGGUGAGUAAUGCCUGGGAAUAUGCCCUGAUGUGGGGGAUAACUAUUGGAAACGAUAGCUAAUACCGCAUAAUCUCUUCGGAGCAAAGAGGGGGACCUUCGGGCCUCUCGCGUCAGGAUUAGCCCAGGUGGGAUUAGCUUGUUGGUGAGGUAAUGGCUCACCAAGGCUACGAUCCCUAGCUGGUCUGAGAGGAUGAUCAGCCACACUGGAACUGAGACACGGUCCAGACUCCUACGGGAGGCAGCAGUGGGGAAUAUUGCACAAUGGGGGAAACCCUGAUGCAGCCAUGCCGCGUGUGUGAAGAAGGCCUUCGGGUUGUAAAGCACUUUCAGUAGGGAGGAAGGUAGUGUAGUUAAAACCUGCAUUAUUUGACGUUACCUACAGAAGAAGCACCGGCUAACUCCGUGCCAGCAGCCGCGGUAAUACGGAGGGUGCGAGCGUUAAUCGGAAUUACUGGGCGUAAAGCGCAUGCAGGCGGCCUGUUAAGUCAGAUGUGAAAGCCCGGGGCUUAACCUCGGAAUUGCAUUUGCAAC